ensembl:lncRNA
AGGUGAACGCGCUUCAUAAUAAUGCGUAGAACGCCUCGUGAACGAGCUAAUCAAGCACAGCUAUAAAUGCAAGCUGAGCCUAAUUAACGCCAUGCUUUCCUAAUGGAUGCAGGACGUGACAGACCUGAGCUGGCCAGGAGUUAUGAGGGCCCCUCACUGUCUGACUUUGACAGAAGCUUCUGUACAGACCGGAGUCUGUCUCUAUCAGCGGUUUCAGCCGAUGGCUUCCUGAGACCAAACAAAGGCAUUGUGUUGGAGUAUCCAGAGCCCGGCCCUGCGGCUGCACCCUGUCUGAACUACUCCACAAGUCUUUUGUCGCCUUUAGUUGCCCUCAGCAAGAACGCUCUCUCUCCAGGCAGCGCCCUGAGCACCGCGCUGAGCAGUCCAGUGCAAGGCAAGUCCUCCACACCCUACGAGAGGGUCAGGUUUCAAAAGCCUGUCCUGGCCAGCUCUCUGGACCUGUCUUGUGUUGAUCUGACGACCACACAUCCGUCGUGGGAAGUGUCCCUUGUGAAGGCCAUAGUUGAGAGCCCAAAAUCAUGUUUGGAGUCCACAUGGAGUCCUAUUAACCAAUCGGCACAGUCACUGAUGUGGUCAGGAACGUCCCCUCACACAAAUGUUUCAGAGGAGCUUCAGCGCUCAUGGAAGGAGAUGGUCAGGCAGGGAUCUAAUCGGUCUUCUGCAAUCCCAGAUCUCCGAGAGGAACAGAGCUCAACUAACUUGGCCAUUUGAUCGAAACCCUAUUUUAG